rnacentral:rRNA from 1 species
CAGCCGCCGCGGUAAUACGUAGGGGGCGAGCGUUGUCCGGAGUUACUGGGCGUAAAGAGCGCGUAGGCUGGUCUUUAAGUGAGUGGUGAAAGGUUCGGGCUCAACCCGGACACUGUCUUUCAUACUGGGGACCUUGAGUGUGGGGGAGGCGAGUGGAAUGGUCGGUGUAGCGGUGAAAUGCGUAGAUAUCGAUCGGAACACCCAUGGCGAAGGCAGCUCGCUGGCCUAACACUGACGCUGAGGCGCGAAAGCGUGGGGAGCAAAUAGGAUUAGAUACCCCAGUAGUCCCUGUCUCUUAUAC